CUUAUAUAGGAUACUCUCUCUCACUCACUGCUCAGCAAUAGCUUACAUGUUUCAGAUGUCAGAUGAGGUGCUGAACGAACUGAACCUUAUCAAAUUCAACACAUCAGAUGAAGGCAGAAGGAGACUGAUACCAGCUGUGAGGAACUGCAGAAAAGCCCUACUGUCUGAUUGUAAACUCACUGAUCAGUGUUGUGAAAGUCUGGCUACAUCUCUACAAUUAAAUUCCUCAUUGAGAGAGCUUGACCUGAGUAACAAUGACCUGAAAGAUUUAGGAGGGAAGCUGCUCUUUGAUGCCCUGAAGAGUCCAAACUGCCAACUAAAGAAACUGAGAUUGUCCAUCUGUAAUUUAACUGAACAGUGUUGUGUAAGCCUGGCUUCAGCUCUUCAAUCAUCAAACUGUCUAAAGGAGCUGGACCUGAGUAACAAUAACUUGAAAGAUUCAGGAGUGAAGCUGCUCUCUGAUGCACUGAAGAGUCCAAACUGCCAACUGGAGGAGCUGAGAUUAUCUGGCUGUAUGGUGACAAAGGAAGGCUGCUGUCAUCUGGCUUCAGCUCUGAGUUUAAAUUCCCAUUUGAAAGAGCUGGAUCUGAGCUAUAAACACCCUGGAGAUUCAGUGUUCAUUACUAGAAAGGAGGAUCCAAACUGCAAACUGGAAAAACUCUGUCUGGAUCACGGCGGAGAGAACAUGAUUAAAGCAGGACUACAAAAAUAUUUCUGUGAUCUCACACUGGAUCCAAACACGGCACACAAUCGUCUUUCUAUUUCAGAGGGAAACAAAAAGUUGUUAUAUAAUUCAAAACCGAUGUCAUAUCCUGAUCAUCCAGAGAGAUUUGACUGCCGUCAGCAGGUUCUGUGUAAAGAGCGUCUGUCUGGACGCUGUUACUGGGAGGCUGAAUGGAGUGGGGAGGGUGACAUGGCAGUGUCAUAUAAACCAACCACCAGGAAAGAUUCUGGCUUGUUUGGAAGCAAUAAAAAAUCCUGGGUUCUAGGCUGCUUUGGGCACAAAUUGAUUGUACGGCAUGAUAAAGUGCAAAGACACUGUCCUCCCCCAGCACUUCCUUUAAACAGAGUAGCAGUGUAUCUGGACGAGGCGGCCGGGAUCUUGUCCUUCUUCACCAUCUCUGACACAAACACACUCAGACAUUUACACACAUUCAAAACCACAUUCACUGAACCCCUCUAUGCUGGAUUUGUGCUUUAUAACCAUUCAGUGUCUCUGUGUGAUGUUAAACAACAGGAUGAAUAAUUACAAGAUAUACAGUAGCGCCAAAAACUGUUUAGUCUUAUGAGACAAUUACAAAUGUCAAAACAAGUGCACUUCAUUUUAUAGAAUUUUUGUAGAAAUAUAUAUUUCAAUCAAAACAUUUCACAGAAAGAGGUUUGUUACAUUUUUAGAUAUUAAAAAGUGAAUAUGUAUUGUUUAAAGUGAAGAAAAAAAUAGUGUAAUAUCGAAGAUAGUUUUGGAAAUACAAGGUUCAGGUUCAGUGUCUUUCACACAGAAUCCACAUAAAUUAUUUUCCCACCUAAAUCUUUCAUGUUAGAAGUGAUUGGAUGAAUAAAUGUCAUUCAAAAUUUUAACUCGCUUCUUUGGUUUUAAGAAGUGAAGGAUCUGAGGAUCUUCAAAUGCAAACUGUGUAGCUGCAUUUCAAUUACCCUUCAAGAUGCGCAAAUUUAAAUUGCGAAUUGAAAAUACGGCUAUUGAAAACACGUAAAUUUCGCUAAAAACUCCCAUAUAUUGCAAAAAAAAUUUUACGCUCGCAUGAGGUGGUUUUUUAGGCAAUUCGAAAAAGGAAUUUUUCGCAAAACUGCAAUGGGAAAAAGCUUUUUGGUAUAUGUAAAAAAUCAUAUGAUCAUUGUGCAGUGUACUAUAAACUCCAAGAAUCACUUCAUACGUAGCCGCUUUCAAGUAUAAGGGGCUUUCCCUGAUAAUAAUGCUUAGACUAUGUAUGCUGCAUGCAUCUGUGGCACAUAACGGCUCUGAUGCGGUCACCGAAGCUGAUGUUAUAUUUAUAUCAGCAGCGUCGCACACGUUUCUAAAGCGGCUGUCCAUGCUGCUUCUGUAAAGAUACACGCAUACGCCUCUUUCGAUUAAACAAAGCCAAAAUCCAUUGCUAUGAAGACAGCAACCAUACAUUUGUGUUGUUUUACUUUUUUAUAUUCUUCUUUUAUAUAUUACUUCUACAUUUUUAUAUUCUUCAUUUGUGUAUUCAUUUAUAAUCAUUUAUCAUUUAAUCAUUUUAUUAUUCCAUUCAAUCAUAUAAUCAUUUAUAAUAAUCAUUUAUAUGCCCAUUUAUAUUUUUUCCAUUGUUGUUUAGUCUUAUGACUGUGAUGUUUUAAGAGCUGUUACUUGCAGUAAAAACACUGUAUUUGUAUUUACAGUACCAUUUAACUUGCUGUAAAUGUAGUUACAGUCUGUCUACUAUACUUUUACAGUUUUUAUUUUUUGUUUGUAUUAUUUUCGUUUUACAGUUUGUAUUUUUACUGUAUUUUUACUUGUGAAAUAUACAGUAAUUUUAUGGUCUUUU